rnacentral:rRNA from 1 species
GACGUAGGGCGCGAGCGUUGUCCGGAUUUAUUGGGCGUAAAGAGCUCGUAGGCGGCUUGUCGCGUCGUUCGUGAAAACCCACAGCUCAACUGUGGGCUUGCGGUCGAUACGGGCAGGCUCGAGUUCGGUAGGGGAGACUGGAAUUCCUGGUGUGAGCGGUGAAAUGCGCAGAUAUCAGGGGGAACACCGGUGGCGAAGGCGGGUCUCUGGGCCGAUACUGACGCUGAGGAGCGAAAGCGUGGGGAGCGAACAGG